GGCGAACGCUGGCGGCGUGCCUAAUACAUGCAAGUUGAGCGCUGAAGACUGGUACUUGUACCGGUUGGAUGAGCAGCGAACGGGUGAGUAACGCGUGGGUAACCUGCCCUAUAGAGGGGGAUAACUAGAGGAAACUUUAGCUAAUACCGCAUAAAAUCUAAUAACACAUGUUAUAAGAUUGAAAGUGCCAAAUGGUACACUAUAGGAUGGACCCGCGUUGUAUUAGCUAGUUGGUGAGGUAAUAGCUCACCAAGGCGAUGAUACAUAGCCGACCUGAGAGGGUGAUCGGCCACACUGGGACUGAGACACGGCCCAGACUCCUACGGGAGGCAGCAGUAGGGAAUCUUCGGCAAUGGACGAAAGUCUGACCGAGCAACGCCGCGUGAGUGAAGAAGGUUUUCGGAUCGUAAAACUCUGUUGUAAGAGAAGAACACCAGUAAGAGUGGAAAGCUUACUGGCUGACGGUAUCUUACCAGAACGCCACGGCUAACUACGUGCCAGCCGCCGCAGUAACAC
rnacentral:rRNA from 1 species